CAAAGUUAAAAAGUCUGUAAUGGGAUGGGAUCCGAAGCCCUCCGAGGGAUAACAUAGGCUCUCC
rnacentral:ribozyme from 1 species